rnacentral:rRNA from 1 species
CCUGGUUGAUCCUACCAGUAGUCAUAUGCUUGUCUCAAAGAUUAAGCCAUGCAUGUGUAAGUAUGAACUAAUUCAGACUGUGAAACUGCGAAUAGCUCAUUAAAUCAGUUAUAGUUUGUUUGAUGGUAUCUAUUACUUGGAUAAUCGUAGUAAUUCUAGAGCUAAUACGUGCAACAAACCCUGACUUUUGGAAGGGAUGCAUUUAUUAGAUAAAAGGUCGAUACGGGCUAUGCCUAUUGCUCUGAUGAUUCAUGAUAACUCGACGGAUCACACGGCCUUUGUGCCGAUGACACAUCAUUCAAAUUUCUGCCCUAUCAACUUUCGAUGGUAGGAUAGUGGCCUACUAUGGUGGUGAUGGGUGACGGAGAAUUAGGGUUCGAUUCCGGAGAGGGAGCCUGAAAAACGGCUACCACAUCCAAGGAAGGCAGCAGGCGUGCAAAUUACCCAAUCCUGACACGGAGAGGUAGUGACAAUAAAUAAUAGCACCGGGCUCUAUGAGUCUGGUAAUUACAAUGAGUACAAUCUAAAUCCCUUAACAAGGAUCCAUUGGAGGGCAAGCCUGGUGCUAGUAGCCGUAAAAAGUCCAGCUCCAAUAGCACAUAUUUAAGUUGUUACUGUUAAAAAGCUCGUAGUUGGAACUUGUCCCUACUGUCGGUGAUGCACUCUUAGACUUAAUUAUCGGGAUCAUUCCUUCGGUGCUGUUACUUUGAAGAAAUUAGAGUGCUCAAAGCAAGCCUACGCUUGUAUACAUUAGCAUGGGAUAACAUCAUAGGAUUUCGGCCCUAUUGUGUUGGCCUUCGGGAUCGAAGUAAUGAUUAAUAGGGACAGUCGAGGGUAUUCAUAUUUCAUAGUCAGAGGUGAAAUUCUUGGAUUUAUGAAAGAUGAACACCUGUGAAAGCAUUUGCCAAGGACAUUUUCAUUAAUCAAGAACGAAAGUUAAGGGCUCGAAGACGAUCAGAUACCAUCUUAGUCUCAACCAUAAACGAUGUCGACCAGGGAUUGACGGAUGUUACUUUUAGGACUCCACCUACACCUUAUGAGAAAUCAAAGUCUUUGGGUUCUGGGAGGAGAAUGGUCGCAAGGCUGAAACUUAAAGGAAUUGACGGAAGGGCACCACCAGGAGUGGAGCCUGCAGCUUAAUUUGACUCAACACGGGGAAACUUACCAGGUCCAGACAUAGUAAGGAUUGAUAGACUGAGAGCUAUUUCUUAAUUCUAUGGGUGGUGGUGCAUGGUCGUUCUUAGUUGGUGGAGCGAUUUGUCUGGUUAAUUUUGUUAAUGAAUGAGACCUCAGCCUGCUAACUAGCUACGCAGAGGUGAUCCUUCAUGGCUAGCUUCUUAGAGGGACUAUGGCCGCUUAGGCCAAGGAAGUUUAAGGCAAUAACAGGUCUGUGAUGCCCCUAAAUGUUUUGGGCCGCACGCGUGCUACACUGAUGUAUUCAACGAGUCUAUAGCCUUGGAUGACAGGCCCGGCUAAUCUUUGAAAUUUCAUCAUGAUGGGGAUAGAUCAUUGCAAUUGUUGGUCUUCAACGAGGAAUUCCUAGUAAGCGCGAGUCAUUAGCUCGUGUUGACUAUGUCCCUGUCCUUCAUACAUACCGCCCGUCACUCCUACCGAUUGAGUGGUCCGAUGAAGUGUUCGGAUCAUGACGACGUGGACUUUUCACUGCCUGCGACGUCACGAGAAGUCCACUAAACCUUAUCAUUUAGAGGAAGGAGAAUUUGUGACAACAUUUUCGUAGGUGAACCUACAGAAG